CCUACGGGAGGCAGCAGUGAGGAAUAUUGGUCAAUGGCCGAGAGGCUGAACCAGCCAAGUCGCGGGAGGGAAGAAUGUCCUAUGGAUUGUAAACCUCUUUUGUCAGGGAGCAAAGUCACCCACGUGUGGGUCUUGGAGUGUACCUGAAGAAAAAGCAUCGGCUAACUCCGUGCCAGCAGCCGCGGUAAUACGGAGGAUGCGAGCGUUAUCCGGAUUUAUUGGGUUUAAAGGGUGCGUAGGCGGGUUAUCAAGUCAGCGGGAAAAUCGUGGGGCUCAACGCCAACCAGCCGUUGAAACUGGUGAUCUUGAGUGGGCGAGAAGUAUGCGGAAUGCGUGGUGUAGCGGUGAAAUGCAUAGAUAUCACGCAGAACUCCGAUUGCGAAGGCAGCAUACCGGCGCCCGACUGACGCUGAGGCACGAAAGCGUGGGUAUCGAACAGGAUUAGAUACCCCGGUAGUC
rnacentral:rRNA from 1 species